ensembl:lncRNA
AACUGAAAUUAAAAAUGUUUCUCUAUAUUAGAUACACAAAAAUAAUUCAGUUUUCUAUUAUCUUGUUUAUUUGCCUUGCAGCGGUCUCUGCUUUCAGUAACAAGCCAUAGCUGUGUUUUUCAUGCCCAGGUAACAACUUACACAGACAUCAGAGAAACAGAAAAAUGGAUUCAUGGGCUUCUGGAGAAACAAUACACCAGUGGAGCAGUACUCUUAAAAGCACAACCUGAGGACAUUUUAAUUUCUUAUAUUGGGCCAUGUCCUGAGCACAACCAUCACACCAGGCAAGGGCUUUUCAGUUGGUCCCAAACUGGGGUUCAGCGCAACACCUCACUUUCCUGUGUGGGAAACCCUAAAAAGUUAGCCUAUAGGCAAUGUCUUCUGGAUGCAAACGUUGGAGCUCUUUGGAAAUCUCCAGACCUGCGGCAAUGCCAGGUUGUGGUCAACAGUGUGUCAGACCUGGAGGACAUUACAGUCACUUAUGGUGAACAUUAAAUACACAAGCUUCUAGUUAAAGGAAUAGCUCACCCAGAAAUGGACAUUUGCUGAAAAUGUACUCACUCUCAGUGAGUACUCUCAAUCUCAUCAAAGAUGUAGAUGUUCUUUGGAACAAAUUGUGGACAAAUUUAGCAUCACAUCACUUGCUCACCAGCUGAUCUUCUGCAGUGAAUGGGUGCUGUCAGAAUUAGAGUCCAAACAGCUGACAAAAACAUCACCAUAAUCCAAAAAUUGACAUACAAUCCAUCAAUUAACAUCUUGUGACACACAAAGAAGACCCACUGCUGAUAGCAAGUGAUGUAAUGCUAAAUUUCUCUACACGUCUUGGAUGGGCUGAGGGUGAGGAAAUUUUCAGCAUUUCAGAUAUCAUUUGUUUCCUUUAAACUAAACAGAAAUGAACUGAAUUGAACAUACCAUCAUCUCAUUCAGAGCAAAUACACAAGUGGAUAGGAAUCUGUUUUAACACAUUAGCCUCUGUAUGAUACAAAUAUCUAUAGUACAUGGGUGCAUCCUAAAAACAAUCCUUAUGCAAUUUGCCUAUUAGACA